CUCAGCUGUAUAACCUACAGUAUAUAAGAUACUCUUCUGCUUUACUGAAAUGAGCAUUUUCUCCCAAACCUUCUGCACACUACCAAUAUUUUUAACAUCCACCCUGUAGGCUGCAUACUAAAAAAGUUUCGGCAGUAGAUUCAACAAAGUUUAGAUGGUAGCUGGAUGGCAUCAAGAAAGCUUGCCUAGACUUCAAGUGGAGCAUGAGCUAGAACAUGAAGACUACCUUCCAUCUGACAGACUCUACACAUGGCAACUGGAAUAUUCCUAGAAAUUGUGCAGGAGAGAGACUUCCCUGAAUUUAUCACCACCUACCUGAAACCAGACCACAAUUUCUGGCCUCCUCUUACAAUCAAAGCUUUAAUUUCACAGCUCUAACAGCAACACACCAUGGAGUACAAACAUCACUGAAAAACAAGGGCCUGAUAAAACCCACAGAAAAGCUAUUCCCUAAUAUUGGGACUACUUUUAGCCAUACUAUUAUAGAUCGCACUUUGUGCGUAAUAAAUAUAGAAAAAUGUUGAAAAUGUAGGACUCAACCAUCUAAUUAAAGCUGAGUAAACUAA